UCCUCCCCUGGGAGGCCUGGGCUGGGGGCCGGGCCAGCCGCCAGCCCCUCUGGGCCUCAGCCUCCUGCUUGCAAGGAGAGGGCUGAAGGAGUUCCGGGGCUCCCAGCUCUCCCUAUGCAGUUGUCUGCCUGGCCUCAAGGAACCAAACACUGGCAGACACAGUUGCAAUGCCCAGAUGUUGGCAUUUCCAGGACAUGUUGAUUUGUGGAGAUGACCAACGGGAUCUUUAAAGCAGAACUGCCUGAAAAAAGCACAAACAGGGUUUCCUGGUUACUCCCACCCGAAGGGCAGAAGUGGGGCCUGUAGCUGGGUCUCCAGGGUGGCCGGGGGACAGAUGAGCCCCCAGGAGAGGCUGCCCUCCCCUGGUCCCUGGACCACAGCAGGGGCAGAGGAGGCAAAUGCUCACAGCCAGGUCUCUGUUGUAAGUGGUCAGUGCCCGAGCACUGCCUUUUCUUUGUUUUUGAGGUGUUGUGUUAUAAACAAUAUAAUGAAUUCCCAUGUGCCCAUUACUUAGCUUCACCAACUCAA